rnacentral:rRNA from 1 species
CCUACGGGUGGCAGCAGUGGGGAAUAUUGCACAAUGGGGGGAACCCUGAUGCAGCAACGCCGCGUGGGUGAAGAAGUACUCCGGUAUGUAAAGCCCUGUCAGCAGGGAAGAAAAUGACGGUACCUGACCAAGAAGCCCCGGCUAACUACGUGCCAGCAGCCGCGGUAAUACGUAGGGGGCAAGCGUUAUCCGGAUUUACUGGGUGUAAAGGGAGCGUAGACGGCAAGGCAAGUCUGGAGUGAAAGCCCGGGGCCCAACCACGGGACUGCUUUGGAAACUGUGUUGCUGGAGUGCAGGAGGGGUAAGCGGAAUUCCUAGUGUAGCGGUGAAAUGCGUAGAUAUUAGGAGGAACACCGGUGGCGAAGGCGGCUUACUGGACUGUAACUGACGUUGAGGCUCGAAGGCGUGGGGAGCAAACAGGAUUAGAUACCCUGGUAGUC